GGGUGGAAGAGGGGCAGGGGAGGUAAAGGAGCAGGGAGAUGGGCAGGGGAGGUAAAGGACCAGGAGGAGGGCAGGGGACAUAAAGGAGCAGGAGGGUGGCAGGGGAGGUAAAGGAGCAGGAGGAGGGCAGGGGACGUAAAGGAGCAAGAGCAGGGUAGGGGACGUAAAGGAGCAGGAGGAUGGCAGGGGACGUAAAGGAGCAAGAGCAGGGCAGAGGACGUAAAGGAGCAGGGCAGGGGACGUAAAGGAGCAAGAGCAGGGCAGGGGAUGUAAAGGAGCAGGAGGAGGGCAGGGGACGUAAAGGAGCAGGAGGAUGGCAGGGGACGUAAAGGAGCAGGAUGAUGGCAGGGGACGUAAAGGAGCAGGAGGAUGGCAGGGGAGGUAAAGGAGCAGGAGGAGGGCAGGGGACGUAAAGGAGCAGGAGGAGGGCAGGGACGUAAAAGGAGCAGGAGGGUGGCAGGGGAGGUAAAGGAGCAGGAGCAGGGCAGGGGACGUAAAGGAGCAGGAGGAGGGCAGGGGAAGUAGAGGAGCAGGAGCAGGGCAGGGGACGUAAAGGAGCAGGAGGAUGGCAGGGGAGGUAAAGGAGCAGGAGGUGGGCAGGGGACGUAAAAUGAGCAGGAGGAUGGCAGGGGCCGUAAAGGAGCAGGAGGAGGGCAGGGGAGGUAAAGGAGCAGGAGGAGGGCAGGGGAGGUAAAGGACCAGGAGGAGGGCAGGGGACGUAAAGGAGCAGGAGCAGGGCAGGGGACGUAAAGGAGCAGGGAGAUGGGCAGGGGAGGUAAAGGAGCAGGGAGAUGGGCAGGGGAGGUAAAGGAGCAGGGAGAUGGCAGGGGAGGUAAAGGACCAGGAGCAGAGCAGGGGAGGUAAAGAAGCAGGAGGAGGGCAGGGGACGUAAAGGAGCAGGAGGAGGGCAGGGGACGUAAAGGAGCAGGAGGAGGGCAGGGGACGUAAAGGAGCAGGAGGAGGGCAGGGGACGUAAAGGAGCAAGAGCAGGGUAGGGGACGUAAAGGAGCAGGAGGAUGGCAGGGGACUUAAAGGAGCAAGAGCAGGGCAGGGGACGUAAAGGAGCAAGAGCAGGGCAGGGGACGUAAAGGAGCAGGAGGAUGGCAGGGGACUUGAAGGAGCAGGAGGAGGGCAGGGGACGUAAAGGAGCAGGAGGAGGGCAGGGGACGUAAAGGAGCAGGAGGAGGGCAGGGGACGUAAAGGAGCAGGAGCAGGGCAGGGGACAUAAAGGAGCAGGGAGAAGGCAGGGGAGGUACAGGAGCAGGGAGAUGGGCAGGGGACGUAAAGGAGCAGGGAGAUGGGCAGGGGACGUAAAGGAGCAGGAGCAGGGCAGGGGACGUAAAGGAGCAGGGGACGUAAAGGAGCAGGAGGGUGGCAGGGGAGGUAAAGGAGCAGGGCAGGGGACGUAAAGGAGCAGGAGGAGGGCAGGGGACGUAAAGGAGCAGGAGCAGGGCAGGGGACGUAAAUGAGCAGGAGGAUGGCAGGGGAGGUAAAGGAGCAGCAGGAGGGCAGGGGACGUAAAGGAGCAGGAGGAUGGCACGGGACGUAAAGGAGCAGGAGGAGGGCAGGGGACGUAAAGGAGCAAAAGCAGGGCAGGGGACGUAAAGGAGCAGGAGCAGGGCAGGGGACGUAAAGGAGCAGGAGGAGGGCAGGGGACGUAAAGGAGCAAGAGCAUGGCAGGGGACGUAAAGGAGCAGGAGGAGGGCAGGGGACGUAAAGGAGCAAAAGCAGGGCAGGGGACGUAAAGGAGCAGGAGCAGGGCAGGGGACGUAAAGGAGCAGGAGGAGGGCAGGGGACGUAAAGGAGCAAGAGCAGGGCAGGGGACGUAAAGGAGCAGGAGGACGGCAGGGGACGUAAAGGAGCAAGAGCAUGGCAGGGGACGUAAAGGAGCAGGAGGAGGGCAGGGGACGUAAAGGAGCAGGAGGAUGGCAGGGGAGGUAAAGGAGCAGGAGGAGGGCAGGGGACGUAAAGGAGCAGGAGGAUGGCAGGGGACGUAAAGGAGCAGGAGGAGGGCAGGGGACGUAAAGGAGCAGGAGCAGGGCAAGGGACAUAAAGGAGCAGGAGGAUGGCAGGGGGACGUAAAGGAGCAGGAGGAUGGCAGGGGAGGUAAAGGAGCAG
ensembl:lncRNA